rnacentral:rRNA from 1 species
UGGGGAAUAUUGCACAAUGGGCGGAAGCCUGAUGCAGCGACGCCGCGUGGGGGAUGAAGGCCUUCGGGUUGUAAACUCCUUUCGACAGAGACGAAGCUUUUGUGACGGUACCUGUAUAAGAAGCACCGGCUAACUACGUGCCAGCAGCCGCGGUAAUACGUAGGGUGCGAGCGUUGUCCGGAAUUACUGGGCGUAAAGAGCUCGUAGGUGGUUUGUCGCGUCGUCUGUGAAAUUCCGGGGCUUAACUCCGGGCGUGCAGGCGAUACGGGCUGACUUGAGUGCUGUAGGGGAGACUGGAAUUCCUGGUGUAGCGGUGAAAUGCGCAGAUAUCAGGAGGAACACCGAUGGCGAAGGCGACUUUCUGGCCAUAUACUGACGCUGAGGUACGAAAGCGUGGGUAGCAAACAGG